UUAAAAGUUAAAAACAUAUUUUGCAGCUGCUCAGAAAGCCGCCAAUGAGACAACAGGGACUCAAAUAGUAAGAACAGAUGGGCCUCCCGGGCCUGCGCAACCCGAGAGAGGUUCAUAUGCAGAAGGGACUUGCCUUUUCUCAGAUGAGAUGUUGGACUCGGACUUUUGAGUUAAUGCUGAAAUGAGCUAAGACUUUGGGGAACUGUUGGGAAGACAUGAUCGGUUUUGAAAUGCGAGAAGGACAUGAGAUGUGGGAGGGGCCAAGGGUGGAAUUAUAAGGUUUAGCUCUGUGUCCCCACCCAAAUUUCAUCUCGAAUUGUAAUUCCUAAUGUUGGGGAAGGGACCUGGUGGGAAGUGAUUGGAUCAUGGGGGUGGACUUCCCUCAUGCUGUUCUCCUGAUAAUGAGUGAGUUCUCAUGAGAUCUGCUUGUUUAAAGGUGUAUGGCACUUCCCCCCUUGCUCACGCUUUCUCUCUUCUGCUGCCAUGAGAAGAAAGUGCUUGCUUUCCCUUUGCUUUUCUCCCAUGAUUCAGUUUCUGAGGCCUCCCAGUCAUGCUUCCUGUUAAGUCUGUGGAACUUGGAGUCAAUUAAACCUCUUUUCUUCAUAAAUUACUCAGUCUCAGGUGGUUCUUUAUAGCAGUGUGAGAACAGACUAAUGUACUAAGCAAUAAGAAAGAUGUCCAGGCCCCAAAUGCCCCAACCUGACACCUAGCUGGCUCUUAAAGAGGGUAGCUACUGUGAAGAGGGAGAAAAAGGCCUUGGCAUCUGCAGACCCUCUUUCUUUAUGAUCCUUUAAAUAUAAAGGAUGUGUUUAUGUCUGUCUUCCUAAGUAGGAAGUUUUAUUCUUUAAACUAAAUUUGACCUACUGGCAUGUGACAAGAAUCACUGACUUGUCAUUACUGGCAUGUGACAAGAAUCACUGACUUGUC
rnacentral:lncRNA from 1 species